rnacentral:lncRNA from 1 species
AUGAUGACCUCUGAACAGAAAUCCAGGAGCACAAAACAGCAGCAUAUUUCAGGAAUCUUGGAGCACUCACGGUCAGUGAUGAAAGAAGAUGGUGGCAUAUUAAAGAGUAUUUCAAGCUGGCAAGGAAAAUGAUCAGAAUGGUAAUAAAAUGGAAAGGUCCUUGAUUUCUCGGUCUUGC